UUGUAGGCUGAUUUGUCAGGAGUUGAAGCUGAUUCUUGAGAGUUUUAAUCUGAAGUCUGGCAUUGGUGAAUUUAGAUCAGUUCCAUUGACAGAGAGCGUCGGAGACAGCACGUAGCUUUUGGGGAAAAGUCACUACUCCAAGUUGAUGAGUAUUCCAAGAAGCUUCAAUAGUUGAUCGACACUCUACAUCUUGUAACCAGUAGGCUUCAAAAUAGAAGGAUCGGUGCCGUUUAAGUCGAUGUGUUGCUACUGUGUUCAAAAGGAGAGGGCUAUGAUCAGAGCCAAGAGCUGGAAGAGCGAACACUUCAGCAAGGGGAUAGGUGAAGGCACAUCCUUUGUUGCCAAGGUCCAUAAGGGAGCAAUCAUUAAGGACUUCGCGGAAAGAAGUGAUGCGAUGAGGCUCAGCUGGUCGCUUCCCAACUUUCUCCCAUGGAUACAAAACUUCAUUGAAGUCUCCUGCACAUAGCCAAGGUGAUACGCAUUGUGAUUCCUACUUCCAGAUCGGUGCAUUUGAAAUCAAGCAUUGCUGUAGAGUGAUGAGCUACAUUCAAAGUUACUCGGUCAGUCCAAAAAAGUGCUAAACCUCCUGCCAAUCCAACUGGAUUUUCUAGAAAAACAUCUGAGAAUCUGAGUUUCCGUUGUAAGUUAAGUAGCAUUGUUUCCUGGUUCUUUGUUUCCAUUAAAAACAAAAUGUCGGGCUUUUCUUGGGUCACUAAGACCUUUAGUGCUUGAACUGUCAGGGGAUUGCCCAAACCCUGACAGUUCCAACAUACUAACUUCAUUGUUCACCUGGUGGCUUUUUAGGGCCAGCCACCAGGGCCCAACAUGCAGAGGCAUCAACUUCAUGGACUGGGGUCUCUUGUAACAGUGAUUCAUCAAGUCCCUGUUGAAACUGAGAGCGAACAUCAGAGGAACUACACUUUCGGAGAUGUGAUGUGCUUUUGAUAGGAAGGAAGCCCGUGCUGUGGGAAAUUGGUUGUCGAAGAUUCCUCAAUCA